rnacentral:ncRNA from 1 species
GUAAAAAGGCAAAAUAAACGAAAGUUUAUGACGCAAAGCCAAUGGUCUAAAGGUUAUAUAAAUAACCCACGAUAGCA